CAAUUUUCCAUUAGAGAAGUUUCAUACCUGUUAGAUCUCCUGCUGCCAGGAACUAACCUCCUGGGAGACAGGUCUUAUCGUCAUCCAGGCAUAUAGGAGGGUGUUGGGAAAACACUUGUAGUGGAUGCUGGAUUGUGCCAUUCAGAGCCAGCUCCCUUUGCUAUUGAAGAACUUAUUUCCCUACAUGUCAGGACUUCUGCUGGCUGAUGGCCCCCAGCUGUGAGCUCUUUCAGGCAUCACCUUUGGCUGCAAAAGGCUCCCUCUCCUGAAGUUACUACCUGCAUCCCUGGAGGCAGACUUCAUCUCAUGUCUUCAUCCAAAGUUUGAACAAAUUGGCUAAGAAGGUGCUAGACAUGUAAAGGGACUAUUUUUUUUCUUAAUUCAAAUGUAGGAGGAGUAUGGAUCUCCAGGAACCAGAAGAGCUGCAUACAUAUGCCCAACAAUUCAGCGACAGCACCAUCAGCCCAGAUGGGGGUUGUGAGCAAAGUCCGAGAUGGUCAGAAGGAAACGAGAACCUGGGAGGUGGCGAGUGUCCACUGCUCUAGUCUCAGGACAGCCUGCUCUGUUAAAGCACCUGGUCCUUCUUCCUGAAGACUUCAGUCCCACCUUGCAUUAUGUUUUGUUCUGUGUAUGUGCGUGUCUAUCUCUCCUGCUAACUGCUGAGCUUGCUAAGGAAAGGAACCUUGUUUUAUGAAAUAAAUGAUAUUUAUGAGCUCCUGUGCUAUGGUCUGAACAUUUGUGUCUCUCCAAAAUUUG
rnacentral:lncRNA from 10 species